GGAAUGCAGCAAACUCAGGAGAAGUGAACUGAGGCCCAUUAUCACUGACCAGAGUGGUCGGGUUUCCGUGUCUGCUGAAGAUAGAGAAUGAUGACCAUCAUCUUUUGGAAUGCAGCUGGAGCAGACGCCAAGCCAUAAGGUACCCUGCAGAAUCUGAAGAGGCCCUCGUGUGUAAGAAAAGCAGUGAGGUCCCGGCAAUCUUCAUGAAGAGCUGUCUACUAUAACUGCCUUGUUGGGCCCUCGCAAGUCCACACACAUGCGGAUCCCCCCCGUUUUCUUUUGGACCACA